AGCCUAGUCCUAAAGUUGCGAAUAGUGAGAUUCGUUUUCAUCUGCCCGUGCAAACUUCCACCAGAGUUCGUUUGCUCACAUUCGUAGGCACUGUGACGUAAUGAGGCCUCGACGAGGAGUUUGCUGCCCGUGUAGCCUUAGUACGUAAGUCCUCGAGCUCGCGCUUCAUACUUCACCGCAUAUGCAGUAGGCUGUGACGUCAUAGCUACUGCCCGUGUAGCACAUUCGUAUUUUCACGUGAAAUUAUUUUUCGGAAUUCCGCACACCGUCAUAGAGUAGUUGAAAAACAAAAAGGGGUUCCGAAAGUACAAGUUGUUGCUGUGACUGACUCGAUGAUUGAGAGGGUCGUCUCGACGAAAGAUAGAGAAAUUUGGCCAUAGUUUAGAUUAGGAAUACGUCAACGUAAUAAUAGUGGACCAAAUGUUUCGUCCGUGAAGAAUGGCACUUUUUACCUCACGAAAUUCACCACCAUGCAUAGCUACACUACGUAAACAAAGUUGUUGAUGUAGCGUGAUCGUGAUGUCCGAGUGCUGCAAGUUUCAAUACUGUUUAUGUAGUCAUUGAGAGUUUAAACAAAGUUUCUUCUGAGAAGAGGAAUUCGAUGGAUGCAUUCAACGUGGACAACGAAAUCAUUAUUUCGUUUGCAUCAUCCUAAGGACCAGUGCAAGUUGAAAUGGGCUCCGAGCCAACAACUUCAACAGCAAUUUGCCAUGAAAAUCAGCAAGAAAGGUACUUCAUUUACAUUGAUGAUGUCAUACCCCCUGGACACCACAACUUUACAGGUUACAGAGAAAAUUCAAGAACUUCUGCAAAAUGUGGGAUUUGGAUAGAAUCAAUUAAUGUAUUUGUGAUCCCAGAGCAAUGGAUAUAUUGUGCAACAUACUAAAGUGUGAAUUUAAUGGAAAACAAGUACAUGUACUCAUGUAUUACAUGUCUUUCUUAAAGACAAUAAUAUUGCAUAAAUAUAGAGGAAGUGUCAUUGUUGAUUAUUCUAAGUUUUUGAUAUAUCAAAAUCAGUAAACAAUUCUAAAUGAAAAUAAAAUACCAAUUUCAUAACUUUAA